AUGGCUGGUGGUGAGGAUUUCAUAAGAGACCUCAUUUCUUUAAACAGAGCUGGAGUGAGGAGGAGUUAGACUCCUCCCUGAAAUCAUACAUUGACUCUAAUUGGAGGUCCAAUAGGAGAAGACUCCAAACAGAAGUUCUCUUUAUUUUUUCUAUUGCUUCAAGAUUCACGGCUGUUUUAUUUGGUUGAUAGGCUGGGUAUC
rnacentral:lncRNA from 1 species